rnacentral:lncRNA from 1 species
AGAUCACAGAAUCCGAGCUAAUAAAAAUAGAUAACCGCUCAACAGCUAAAUAAACCGCUCAGCGGUUUGCCCAUUAGCCGCGUGACCGCUCAGCGGUCAGUUUUACCUCUGAGCGGUUUGCCUCAAAUCGCCCUGGACGCUCAACGCUCCAUUCUGACGCUCAACGGUUCUUCUGACCCUUCUUUUCAUCCUUUUUCUUCAUCUUUCAUGUGUCUAUGUCCACCUUGCUUCCCUUUCAUCUUCAAUUCACCUUAAAACCCUGCAAAACAAUGUAAAAACAAGCAUAAUAUCUCUAAAACCAACUUUUGACUCUAACCUGACUCCACU